rnacentral:rRNA from 1 species
UGCUUGGCCAUCAACCAAGACAUCACACUUCACACUCACUCCGCCCGAGAACUACAGGCAAAAGCCCAAAACUCCAAGGACUUGACGGUGCCCUAACACCCUAGAGGAGCCUGUCCUUUAAUCGAUACCCCACGCUGCACCUCACCCCCCUUCGCCAACACAGCCUAUAUACCGCCGUCGAAAGUCCGCCUUAUGAAAGAACCCCCGCGGACAAAACAGCCAAAACCCUAACACGUCAGGUCAAGGUGUAGCUAAUAGGAGGGAAAGCGAUGGGCUACACUCUCUAAAAUAGAGACCCGUAAGCACCAUGAAAUACACCCGAAAGCUGGAUUUAGCAGUAAACUUAACAAGCAAUGUUAACUUGAAACGUGCCCUAGGACGCGUACAC